UAGUGUCUGUGAAGGCAACAAAGAAUGUGACGCAGACGUUUUGGCCUGGCUGAGCAGUGCAUAUUUUACAGUUUUGCGUCAUAUUAAGCUUACUUUGUCGAACGCUUUCAAAUAUUAGAUAAUUUUAACAUUGUGAGUAGCUUUAUUAGGGUGCCCAUGUAACAAGAUAAUACCAAGACUGACUGCGCAUGCGUACUGUAUAAGCGGAAACCGUAUGUGCGCCAGGCGGAUGCUGUAACGUUCUUUCUGCUCCCGGACUGCCAUCAUGGUGUUCAAACGCUUCGUUGAGAUCGGCCGUGUUGCCUACAUCUCUUUCGGACCCCAUGCUGGCAAGCUGGUGGCCAUCGUAGACGUCAUCGAC